UACGUAGGGCGCAAGCGUUAUCCGGAAUUAUUGGGCGUAAAGAGCUCGUAGGCGGUUUGUCGCGUCUGCCGUGAAAGUCCGGGGCUCAACUCCGGAUCUGCGGUGGGUACGGGCAGACUAGAGUGAUGUAGGGGAGACUGGAAUUCUCGGUGUAGCGGUGAAAUGCGUAGAUAUCGAGAGGAACACCUGCGGCGAAGGCGGGUUGCUGGGCUGACACUGACGCUGAUGUGCGAAAGCCAGGGGAGCGAACGGG
rnacentral:rRNA from 1 species